CAUAUCACCGCUUUCUGAAAUUCCUUCAGCUUUUUUAGCGACACGUUGCAGACGCUUAAUAGUACGCAUCUUUUUACGACCUUGUGCCUCAAGAACUUUUUUGAUAGGACGAGCAUUAAGAGCCUUCAUUUUUUCCCGCAAAGCCAAAACGGCUUCUUUGGUGAUUGGCUUGUUGGGUUUAUUGACGGUUGUUUCUUCAUCCAAAAACCAAUCUGGAAGACCUUCUUUAGAUUGAAACGACCAUCGAUUAUAACCUUCAUCAAUCAAAUCAGCCUUAGACUUUCUCCUAGAAGCAAUAUCCUGAGCUAGUGUCAUUGCCUCGGCAGUAACAAUUUCAACGUUGUUUUCAUCAUUAUCAGAAUCAGAAUUCCAAUCAUCAUCUUCAUCAUGAGCUGAAGCAACUGGAACGACUUCAAUAUGAUCAUUGCUGUCCUCACUUUGGUCUCCCUUGCUUCCAUCGUCAUUAUUUUGAGAAGCAAGUUCAGCUUCACGUUUCUUUAUAGCAGCGCGGUUCAUAGACAUGAUUUCCACAUCAGCAUCGGCAUCUUCAAUACCAUCAAAAAUGUCCUGGUCAAAAAACAUACGUGCUUUUCUACUAAGCCCAUCCUUAGUCGAACCUUUGUCUAACAAAGACGUUGUCAGUCUGUCUUUAUCAGGAGUAGCAAAGUUCGUCUCAGCAAUCUGAGAAUCAUCGCUUUCGGUGCCAUUAUCUAUACCGUUCCAUUCUUCAUCAUCAAGAUCGCCACGCGCUUUUUUAACGCGAUAUUUCACAUCAGAUUCAGCCUUGCGUUUAGUAUAAUCAGAAUACAUUGAAUCCAAGUCAGCCUCUAAGCGAUCGCGCUCAUCGUCACUAUCGUAUUCGACUUCAUUGUCCGUAGAAACUUCUUCGUCAACAGAUUCAGUUACGGGAAGCGUUCCAUUUUCCAAUUCUUUUAAACCAUGCUUUUCAGCGGUUGCUAGACCAAACAAACUGUCUUCGCCCAUGGCUUCAUGUUCCAAGCCAAUAUCCAUUGGGGCCAACAUUCCCAUUUGCAUACGAACAAUUUCACGCUGUUUACGCUGAUUCGCUUUCCGACGCUCACGUUUGAGUUUAACACGUUCGGCUUCACUCAAAUCUUGUAAUUCUUGAUCCAGUCUCUCUUCUUCAUCCAUUUCAGGAAUCUCCUCAACCACUGUUUUUUGCUCAUCCUCUACCUUUUUACCUAUACCCAUCUCAUCUCUUAUUUUCAGUCGCCAUCUCAAAAUAUCGCGGAAUUCUUUUUUACCUAAUACUUGUAAAUCUGAGCAACACAAAAGAAUUUCUUCAGUAGUGACGUCUAAAUUGUAUAAGCGUUGACAUUCCUCAUCAUCUUUUGGGAAUACAAUUUCAGCGGAUGUACCAAGGAUUUGAAUGGGAUCAUUUGCGGUAACAAAUUCCGAUGCCAAGACAGUUUUGUGUAAUGUGUAAUCAUCGUCAGCGUAACCCUCACGACUACGUUUUCUUUUUUCAGGAUGGAACACUUUUGCAUCAACGUUUGUAACUGGCUCUUGGACUUCUUCGAAAACGGUACGAGGAUCUGUAAAGCGAGGAUCUAACUUUUUUGGUGCUUUGUACCCACGACAUACGACAAAAAUUUCUGCAGAGACGUUACGAGAAGAUGGAGGUUUAGUAGCCUCAACUUUAUUAAAAAGUUGUUUGAAUACCCAUAAAAGAUUAUUAUAAUCCCUUGAACGAAAAACUUUUGUAACAAAUGUACCACCAGCAACCAAAAAUUCACAUGCUAAUUUCAUUGACAUUAGCACCAACUGAGCUUGUCCAUAGGCGUCCUGCAACCAUGCAGAACCAACAUUUGGUGCACCAUCAUGAAGAACACUGCUCAAUGCAUUAAUAAAAAUUCGACAAAAACCAAUAUGGGCAACAAAUAUUCUAAUCAGUUCAAUCAAAUUUCUAAGAUUGCAAGUGAAACAAGAAUAGUUGCACCCGUUUAACCGCUUCCUGCAGCAUAUCAAUUACUUACACAUCAGCUUUCCAAGUUUUCAAAUAUCCACGCAAUUGCGAUCUGCAUUUAUCACUUGUAAUAUCCUCAACAAACGUAUGGCAAUUAGGAAUGGGUUUAAUAGGAGCAAGAUCAACACCAACGAUUAAUGAGCCAGGUUUGCAUGUUUUAGAAGCAACCUGUAACCAACCACCUGGACUGUUUUGACGGUCAGUGUAAAAGGAUUUUGAAUAAUAACUAUACAACUUACGCAGCACAAAGAUCAAUGAUGACUUUAGCUUUUUCAAGGAAACUAUAUUUCUGAUUCAAUUGCACUAAUUUAAAAGCAGCACGAGAACGAUACCCUAAACGUUAAAAAGUGUUCAUUGUAGCUAUUAAUAAAUACCUUGUUCUUUGGCAAGCUUAUACCAUUUAUCCAAACGGCCUUUGGCCGUCUUUUUUUGUGAUUUACCCAUGUGGUUUUAUCGGUGCAAAAAUUGGUGAAAGGCAAAAGGCAACUGGCAAAUAGCGUACAGUACACUACAACAUAGACUAAAGAAAAGAUACUGUCAAAGCACUUAAAAUUAAAAAUCUUGUUUAUUUUUGAAUAAGAUAAAAAAAUAUUAAACAGUAUGAAAUAAGAUUGGAGAAAAUUGCUUUUGAAUAUGUUAAUACUACAAUAUUUUAAUGCU